rnacentral:lncRNA from 1 species
UAUGAUUAUAGACUGCACAGGUUUUGUGAAUUGUGGAUUGUAGAGGUGAAUGACUUGAAUGUUUUUUUUUUAGUGACCUCAAAUGUGUGAUUGGAUCCUGGAUUGUUUGUUGAAUUAAAUAUUAUCAAUCUUGAAUUAGGUUCACACCUCCUAAAUGAGAAUUAAAUUCGGGGGGUGUGAUCAAAGUGGUAUCAGAGCAUGGUUUGAGGAUCACUGAAAUAUUUGAUAUGUUGACGUGCAAAAUAUAUUGAGGUCUAGUGAACUAUAGUGAUUGGUGGAAAUUUUCUUUGAUGCAUUUUAGGAAUCUAGGAUGACGAGGACAUUUAGUCUUCCUACUUCAUUUGUUUUUUAUUAACUAAGUGCGAUAAAAGGGUUGAUCGAGGAUAUUAAAUCAGAGUAGCGUAGUAGGAGUGUGGUGAACCUAAUACAUUGGUAGCAGAAAAAUAAAUGAUGCGAUUAGAGAAGAUAUUUGAUGAACAAAAUUAUUCUAAUGAUCAAAAGAAUUUCUUGAGAUCAAAGAAAGGAAUAGAAAGGACAAGUUUACUAAAAAAAAAAAAAAAAAGAUUAGAAAUGAAUCUGAAUGUGAUAAUAAGAGGGUCAAGACAUCAUCAAUUUGAAAAGGGAAGUCACCACAAAAGAUUCAAUC